rnacentral:lncRNA from 1 species
GUCACAUUAAGUUCUGAGAGGGAAUGUGUCCUAUUAGCGGAGAGCCAGGUUAACCCUUUCUAUGGCGGAGAUCAGUCAGCACUCCUUCCUAUCCCAUGUUGCACACGGGAGCAAGACAGAAUGACACACCACGCCCACUAGCUCUCACACCACACUCCCUAGCACACCACCCCAUUUAGCGCUUUCACACACCACACCCGCUAGCACACCACGCCUCCUAGCGCUCUCAAACACCACACCCCCUAGCACACCACGCCUCCUAGCGCUCUCACACACCACACCCCCUAGCACACCACGCCUCCUAGCGCUCACACACCACACCCCCUAGCACACCACGCCCCCUAGAGGGACCUGAUGUGCGCGUCCCAGGUCCCGUGGAUUGAGUAGGAGUUGAUGGGAUUGAGUGGGAGUUUGUCAGGAUUACAAGUUGAUCAAGCACGCAGUAAUGUGUCACACUAAAGAUAACGUAUAACCAGACCUUAGAAUGGCCAGACUUAACGUCUCCAAGAAUAGUCAAAAUACUUGCCGAGGUCAGGGACACAAAAUCAGACGCAAAGAUGAGGGAAAGCUAAAAGUCAAGGAUAGAAGAUAUCAGGGAAAUGAAAUACCAGAAGAUCAAGAUCAGGAACACACUCUCGGAUAACCAUGGGUAUGAAACCACAACAGGGCACUGAGCAAGAGGAGAGUUGGGUUUAAAUACCCCCCACGUGGAUCCGAUUGGCUGUAACUGGCCUUUGACCCAAAAAGCAAUUACCAGGUUUGCAUGUUCAUGAUUGCUAUUCGGCACAACUUUUCCUCUCAGGACAGUAAAUGCCAUUAACCUAAUUUUUAUGUGCGGAUUAAUACGUGACAGAAUUAAAGGGAAUGAGUGCGAGUUGAUGGGAUUGAAUAGGAGUUAGUGGGAGUUAAUGGGAUUGAGUGGGAGUUAGUGAGAGUUAAUGGACUGGGUGGGAGUUAGUGGCUUGAGUGGGAGUUAGUUAAUGGAUUGAGUGGGAGUUAGUUAAUGGAUUGAGUGGAAGUUAAUGGAUUGAGUGGGAGUUAGUUAAUGGAUUGGGUGGGAGUUAGUUAAUGAAUUGAGUGGGAGUUAGUUAAUGGACUGAGUGGAAGUUAAUGGAUUGAGUGGGAGUUAGUUAAUGGAUUGAGUGGGAGUUAGCUAAUGGAUUGAGUGGGAGUUAGUUAAUGGAUUGAGUGGGAGUUAGCUAAUUGAGUGGGAGUUAGUUAGUGGGAUUGAGUGGGAGUUAGUUAAUGGAUUGAGUGGGAGUUAAUGGAUUGUGUGGGAGUUAGUUAAUGGAUUGUGUGGGAGUUAGUUAGUGGAUUGGGUGGGAGUUAGUUAAUGGAUUGUGUGGGAGUUAGUUAAUGGAUUGAGUGGGAGUUAGUUAAUGGAUUGAGUGGAAGUUAAUGGAUUGAGUGGGAGUUAGUUAAUGGAUUGGGUGGAAGUUAAUGAAUUGAGUGGGAGUUAGUUAAUGGACUGAGUGGAAGUUAAUGGAUUGAGUGGGAGUUAGUUAAUGGAUUGAGUGGGAGUUAGCUAAUGGAUUGAGUGGGAGUUAGUUAAUGGAUUGAGUGGGAGUUAGCUAAUGGAUUGAGUGGGAGUUAGUUAAUGGAUUGAGUGGGAGUUAGCUAAUGGAUUGAGUGGGAGUUAGUUAAUGGAUUGAGUGGGAGUUAGCUAAUAGAUUGAGUGGGAGUUAGUUAAUGGAUUGAGUGGGAGUUAGUUAAUGGAUUGAGUGGGAGUUAGUUAGUGGGAUUGAGUGGGAGUUAGUUAAUGGAUUGAGUGGAAGUUAAUGGAUUGUGUGGGAGUUAGUUAAUGGAUUGUGUGGGAGUUAGUUAGUGGAUUGGGUG